ensembl:lncRNA
CAUGUUAAUUCUGAACACAAUUUCUUUCUGCUCUAGGAUCAUCAAAUAAGAAAACCUACCAUCUUAUCGAGAAGACGCUGUCAUGGGAGUCAGCUAAGAGUUACUGUCGUACUCAUUACACUGACCUCGCCAUGAUAGAGAAUGAAGAAGAGAACCAAAAGGUUUUGUCCAACAUCACUACCCCUGCUUGGAUCGGUCUUUACAGAGUUCCCUGGACGUUUUCUGAUGGGACCAACAGCUCCUUCAGACACUGGUGGAGCUAUGAGCCCAAUAACGUUAAUAAUGAGGAGUUAUGUGCCACGCUGUAUGACGGUGGAUUUAGCGACAGGGAUUGCAAUGCAACGUUCCCAUUUAUCUGCUCAGGUCGGAAAUACAGCAGAAUAAAGAUAAUGAUAGAGUCUAACUUGGACCUGACAAACCACAACAAUAAGGAUCACAUCCUUCUAAAACUGUCUGCAUCUCUGACCAGAGCCGGGAGGACUGACUUCAACCUGAGCUGGAGCGCUCCACCAAAACUAUAUCCAGCAGGCUUGAAUGAUGACAACCAAUGAUCAAUACAUGAAUUAUGAAUGCAUUCAUUGAUGUGAUGCAUAAUAAGUUUGUCCACAAGUUGAUGCUGUUUCUUGGAAUGAAACCUUUAUUUUAAUAUAUUUUGAUGUGAUUUAACUGCAAGCAAUUUGUGUGUGCCAACUUACUUAGUGCAUAAUAAGCAAGAAUGUUUCAUCCGUGACAACAUGUGAUCUAUAAUCCUCAUACGCCAUGCAUAUUAAAGAUGAGUGUGGCCCAGUUCAUAAAAUCGUAUAUGUUCAAGUUAGUUAACUAUUAAAUUUAUUUUAUCAAAGUCAUCAUAAUCGUAAUACAACGUUAUUCUGUUAAUGAUGAGAAGAAUUCCAAGGUAAAAGGUAUGAAUCCAUUCAUGUGGAUAUUUUAAGAGAGCUUGUACGAUAUACUCUUGUCACUAUAAUAACAGAUGAUGUAACGCGAAUAUAUCACUUUCUAUAACACAAAGAGUAUACUUACUCUUUUCCAAAAACCUUGUAACAAUUUUUUCUUAUAUACAGUGUUUUGUUUCAGUUUAAAAGUGCCUAACAUUGUUCAUAUGCAUGCAUUUGGUAUGAAACUAACGAACAAUUAGUUCAUUAGUAGAUGCAACUGUCGAAGGGGGUUAUCAAGCCUCUUAACAACUUGCGGCAAUAACUCUCUAAUUAAUAACAAUGAAAAAGCGGAUUUAGCCGAAUUCCAUGGAAAGACAAUCCCAUCAGUGGUGAGAUGGGGACACUUAGUGGCCGUUUUUAAUAUUACACACAUUAAGUUAUACAUCUUGUAACUGAUUCAAAAUAAAGAAAAUCAAUAAAUAAUGGGUACACAACGGUGGUCAGACUGAAUUCAGAUACAAUUUAUAUUCUUACCACCAAUUAAAAAUAUAGAUCUCAUGUGUGUGUGUGGAUGAUGGCUGGUUCAGCAGCCUCACCUGGCCCAGUCUGAUUGGACUCUGAGGCUGGGUAAGGCUGCACACCUGUGGCACAUUGAGUAACCAGUGUGCUGAGGUUAACCCAGCCAUCUCCACACACACAUGGGAGAGUUAUCCUAGGUGGCAAAAUGCAACACUAGGCCAUGCAUCAUUUUCAACAAACCUUUACAAUUAACCGAUCUUUCAACAUCACCACCCUUUGUCCUUUUGUCUGGAGGAGUCCAAUGGAAGAUACAAGGAAGCAAUGCAGAUCCAUGCAAAUAUCUAACUAGAUUAGAAUAAUGCAAAGAUUAAUUGUUUUGUCAAACCAGUAGCUAUUUCCACAUGGUGAAAAGGAAAAUAAAAUUGACUUGCU